UGGAACUUCAUGUAGAAGGGCAUCAAAAAGCUCAUCAACAUAUCAAGGGCAAGCGGGAAUCGCAGUUCAUCUUCGAGUACUACGUGAUGUUCUAUACGUAAGUUGCCUUCGUCCCCGCCUCCAUCCCGCCACGCCAAGACUAGGCCCGAUCCCGAUCUAAUCCGGUGUUGAUCUAGGGUUUCCGCUCCUCUGUGGCUCUGUUUGUUUCUGUUCAUCACACGCAACACAAUAUACAAAAUGUGGAAAAACAAACUGGUUGCCUUUUGGCCACAGACUAGAUUGGUUUCAGUUUAGAUGUAAAAUAGAUUCUGGAUUUUUAAUGUGCAACGACGGUAUGUUUUCCCUGUUGUGUUAUUGGAGAUGCAUCUUAUAUGAUUUUGUUAAAUAUUUAGAUGAUUAAAGUGGGGCGAGACCAAACCAGCUUGGUCCAGAAGGACCAUUGGGUGAAAGAUUUUCUGAGUAUGAUUCUAAUUCUUUCCAAUGAUCUACAUGGGAAGGGUGAGUUUGGCUGCGAUGAUACAAAUCUGCUCGGCAAACAACUAAAAGCAGUUGGCAGAAAAAACUGAUGAUGAAUAAACAAGAGCAAGUCAUGAUCAUUAAUGGUCUUUUGUUCACCAAUUAUCAGUUAUAUGUUUCAUAAACAUGUUCAUAUGCUAAUGUAAAAUGGUUAUUGAAUCUACUAUAUAUAAUAGGAAUGAGUUCUGGGCCAAAGGUCUGCUUGAAAGGCAGAACUGAAACACAAAGAAGGCCAAGCAAAGCAAAUGGGAAGAUGCAAGUGUUUCCAUCAGGAAUGAUAAUAUGUGCUAUGCUUUCAUGUGUGCUUUAUUUAUCUAAAUGUGCUUUUUCUAAAUGAAUGACCAAUUUUGUUAAUUGAAUUCCAUUUUCAUCAUAUAUCUGCUGCAGAAAAUUAGAUUUCUUUUAGUGUUAAAUCAUUAGCCAGUAACUAUUUGGUGAUGCGUAUAUGUCAAAGGUAUGACCAUGUAAACCUUUGGUACAGUUUCAUUGCAGCAGUACUAUGUUAUAACUUCCUACUCAAAAGUAGAUUUGAAUUCUUGUGAAAUGUCUUUCUGUCAGAGCUAAUGACACCAUACACCAAUUGCAGGUCAUCAAGCGUGUGCCUUCCUGAUCCCCAAACAAGUGUUCGCUCGCUGGUGACUUUUCUAAUCUGCAAAACUGUUUUUCUUCCCUGCUUGCUGUACAUGGGUGGCACUUCGACAGGGGCACCAACCAUACAUUAAUUUACUUCCAUUUUUAUGUUUAAAAGAAUUUAGAAAACGGAUGCCUUUGGACAUUUUUAUUUGAAAUUGCUGAUUCAAGCUUCGUAGAUUGGCUGAUGAUGGGUGGCGAGAUGUCUUCUAUCUACAAAAUUUUGAAGACUUGGGAAGGUAAGGAUAUCUCUCUCUUUGGUAGUAUUUAAAAUAUUAGUCAGCUAGAUGUCGCUAUCUUUACCUGACCUAUCAAAUUAUAUUUCUAUAAUGACGGGCCAAGUUAAUUCCCCAUCUAUCUCAUUUGCCAACCAGAUCAUGCAAUUGUUCAAACAGAUUUAUGAAAACGGUCCUUUUAACUGAUAGUUAAACACCUACAGCGCUGUCUGUUGUAGUGUUAUGUGUACAAGGAAGAACGAUGAACAAUUGAAGUUUUCGUUUUUUGUGACGAUUCCCUUUUUCCCAAAACUUACUGAUUUUUUUUUCAUAUAGCAGCCAUCUAAUAUUUCUGGCAGCAUUUAGACUGAACUGGAGGAGAACAAAUUUGAUACACAAAGCAAUUUUGGUCACGCGAGGGCUUGAGGUCACACGUGUGUCACUCGAGUGUGCAAGCUGUUGACUGCAUUUCAGCAAGACCAUUUAAUGACAUGCAUGUGCAAAAUAUCAAUAAAUGAAACCUACCCAUUCUAUUUAUUGUAAAUGUGUUCUAGAUUGUAACAUCCUUCUAUGGAGAUCUAAAUGGUCAAGGCGAUCGGAUUUAAA
rnacentral:lncRNA from 1 species